rnacentral:rRNA from 1 species
GAUGAACGCUGGCGGCGUGCCUAAUACAUGCAAGUCGAGCGAACGGACGAGAAGUUUGCUUCUCUGAUGUUAGCGGCGGACGGGUGAGUAACACGUGGAUAACCUACCUAUAAGACUGGGAUAACUUCGGGAAACCGGAGCUAAUACCGGAUGAUAUUUUGAACCGCAUGGUUCAAAAGUGAAAGACGGUCUUGCUGUCACUUAUAGAUGGAUCCGCGCUGCAUGAGCUAGUUGGGAAGGUAACGGCUUACCCAGGCAACGAUGCAUAGCCGACCUGAGGGGGUGAUUGGACAGACUGGAACUGAGACACGGUCGAGACUCCUACGGGAGGCAGCAGUAGGGAAUCUUCCGCGAUGGGGGAAAGGCUGACGGAGCAACGCCGGGUGAAUGAUGAUGGUCUUCGGAUCGUAAAACUCUGUUAGUAGGGAAGAACAUAUGUGUAUGUAACUGUGCACAUAUUGACGGUACCUAAUCAGAAAGCCACGGCUAACUACGUG